UCGGGAAUUUUGCUCAAUGGGGGAAACCCUGAAGCAGCAACGCCGCGUGCGGGAUGAAGGCCUUCGGGUUGUAAACCGCUUUUACCAGGGACGAUAAUGACGGUACCUGAUGAAUAAGUCACGGCUAACUACGUGCCAGCAGCCGCGGUAAUACGUAGGUGACUAGCGUUGUCCGGAUUUACUGGGCGUAAAGAGCGCGCAGGCGGUCGUUCAAGUCGAGUGUGAAAGCCCCCGGCUCAACUGGGGAGGGUCAUUCGAUACUGAUCGACUCGAAGGCAGGAGAGGGAAGCGGAAUUCCCGGUGUAGUGGUGAAAUGCGUAGAUAUCGGGAGGAACACCAGUGGCGAAGGCGGCUUCCUGGCCUGUUCUUGACGCUGAGGCGCGAAAGCUAGGGGAGCAAACGGG
rnacentral:rRNA from 1 species